rnacentral:rRNA from 1 species
GAUGAACGCUGGCGGCGUGCCUAAUACAUGCAAGUCGAACGCUUCACUUCGGUGAAGAGUGGCGAACGGGUGAGUAAUACAUAAGUAACCUGGCAUCUACAGGGGGAUAACUGAUGGAAACGUCAGCUAAGACCGCAUAGGUGUAGAGAUCGCAUGAACUCUAUAUGAAAAGUGCUACGGGACUGGUAGAUGAUGGACUUAUGGCGCAUUAGCUUGUUGGUAGGGUAACGGCCUACCAAGGCGACGAUGCGUAGCCGACCUGAGAGGGUGACCGGCCACACUGGAACUGAGACACGGCCCAGACUCCUACGGGAGGCAGCAGUAGGGAAUUUUCGGCAAUGGGGGAAACCCUGACCGAGCAACGCCGCGUGAAGGAAGAAGUAAUUCGUUAUGUAAACUUCUGUCAUAGAGGAAGAACAGUAGAUAUAGGGAAUGAUAUCCAAGUGACGGUACUCUAUAAGAAAGCCACGGCUAACUACGUG